rnacentral:rRNA from 1 species
ACGGGAGGCAGCAGUGGGGAAUAUUGCACAAUGGGGGAAACCCUGAUGCAGCGACGCCGCGUGAGCGAAGAAGUAUUUCGGUAUGUAAAGCUCCAUCAGCAGGGAAGAAAUUGACGGUACCUGACUAAGAAGCACCGGCUAAAUACGUGCCAGCAGCCGCGGUAAUACGUAUGGUGCAAGCGUUAUCCGGAUUUACUGGGUGUAAAGGGAGCGUAGACGGAGCAGCAAGUCUGGAGUGAAAACCCGGGGCUCAACCCCGGGACUGCUUUGGAAACUGUUGUUCUAGAGUGCUGGAGAGGUAAGUGGAAUUCCUAGUGUAGCGGUGAAAUGCGUAGAUAUUAGGAGGAACACAGGUGGCGAAGGGGGCUUACUGGACGGCAACUGACGUUGAGGCUCGAAAGCGUGGGGAGCAAACAGGAUUAGAUACCCUGGUA